rnacentral:misc_RNA from 1 species
AAACCCACGAGGUCGGUUGGUCUGUUGAUCAUACAUAAUUGCUACAUCAGUGACAUUACCAUAAGUUUCAAAGUAAAUUCUAAAGUCAUCCUCAGUCAGAGUGGGAGGCAAUCCCCCAACAAAUAUUUUCUUAGUCCUGGUAUUUCCACUGCCUCCAAAACUUCUACCACCACCCAUAUUUCCAGAUUUUGGACCCUGUUGUUCCUCUCUGGACAAGGCCCUCUUAGCCUCAACCGUACGUCCAUCAAUUACAUGGGUAUCCUGAAGAACCCUAUCAAUAACACUAGGAUCUGCAAAUACAACAAACCCAAAUCCUCUAGGCUUCCCUGUAAUCUUAUCCCUCAUUACUACAGUCUGUACAACAUCACCAUACCCUUGAAAAUACUCCUUCAUCUUCUCCUCUGAUGUUUCCCAUGAUACCCCACCAAUAAAUAGUUUUCCUUGAUCUGAAUCCAUACUUUUUUCUCUCUCCCCCUAUACUUUUUCUCUCUCUAUCUAUAUAUAUUUAAGAUGUAUAUGUAUGUAUAACGAAAAAAUGUAGAUUUUUGAGUGUGUGUGUGAGGGAGAAGAGAGAGUGAGGGUUUGUGUAAGAGAAAAUCUGGAAAAG